rnacentral:rRNA from 1 species
GAUGAACGCUAGCGGCAGGCCUAACACAUGCAAGUCGAGGGGUAACAUAGGAAAGCUUGCUUUUCUGAUGACGACCGGCGCACGGGUGCGUAACGCGUAUACAACCUACCUUUUAGCGGGGAAUAGCCCAGGGAAACUUGGAUUAAUGCCCCAUAGUAUAUAGACUUCUCCUGAAGUUUAUAUUAAACAUUUAUGGCUAUUAGAUGGGUAUGCGUCCUAUUAGUUAGUUGGUAAGGUAACGGCUUACCAAGGCAGCGAUAGGUAGGGGUCCUGAGAGGGAGAUCCCCACACUGGUACUGAGACACGGACCAGACUCCUACGGGAGGCAGCAGUGAGGAAUAUUGGACAAUGGGCGAGAGCCUGAUCCAGCCAUGCCGCGUGCAGGAAGACUGCCCUAUGGGUUGUAAACUGCUUUUACAGAGGAAGAACCACCCCCACGUGUGGGGGUUUAACGGUACUCUGCGAAUAAGGAUCGGCUAACUCCGUG